rnacentral:rRNA from 1 species
AGCGAACGCUGGCGGCAGGCCUAACACAUGCAAGUCGAACGGAUCCUUCGGGAUUAGUGGCGGACGGGUGAGUAACACGUGGGAACGUGCCCUUUGGUUCGGAACAACUCAGGGAAACUUGAGCUAAUACCGGAUGUGCCCUUCGGGGGAAAGAUUUAUCGCCAUUGGAGCGGCCCGCGUCUGAUUAGCUAGUUGGUGAGGUAAAGGCUCACCAAGGCGACGAUCAGUAGCUGGUCUGAGAGGAUGAUCAGCCACAUUGGGACUGAGACACGGCCCAAACUCCUACGGGAGGCAGCAGUGGGGAAUCUUGCGCAAUGGGCGAAAGCCUGACGCAGCCAUGCCGCGUGAAUGAUGAAGGUCUUAGGAUUGUAAAUUCUUUCACCGGGGAAGAUAAUGACGGUACCCGGAGAAGAAGCCCCGGCUAACUUCGUGCCAGCAGCCGCGGUAAU